GAGGAAGUGGCCGGCAAAACUUUUAGGUGGUAUUCGCUUUGGAAAAUUUGCCAAGACAUCUCUUUUGUGUAUAAACCAUCUUCUAAACAUUUAACUAUCUCGUACAUCAAAAAUGCCACCUAUUCGCCCACUCUCAUUGAUGCCUAUUUCCCUCUUUCUUCAAAAGGCAAUGUUUCCAGUGCAAUUCGCUUACCUGCCAGGAGAGAAGGGCAACACUGAAAAGCAGAGAGAACCCCUUGGGAAUGCUUCUGCUGGUGAGCUGGGAAGCACCUUCCUGAAAACUUCUGAAGACACAGCCUGCUCACUCCAUGCCUGAGUUCUGCAGCCUCUGAGAUCCUCCCUAGAAAACAAGAUUCC